UUGGACUCUGCUGUGAAGACUGGUUUGCUGGUAUGCCAGAGGCAAGAUGGUAAGAAGCCCAGCUUUGCUCACCAACUUCUGCAUCACAUCUGGUGAGGGGCGUUGGAGUCUCUCCCCAAGGUGGGGUUUGGGAGACUUCUAGUUUCCAAGACAAAACCAGUUUUCAGACUCCCUCCCUUGGAUCAAACAAGGAAGUCGAGGCUUCUGCAGUCCUGAAGAAACAGAUGAGAGUCUGCUCCUCUGACCACCUGUCUUGAUCUGGCCUUACCUGGGGCAGUUGUUGAAGUUCUGAAAAUACCCAGUACAGAGCACCUGGGCGCAGUUCUCACGGAUGCUGGCAGCCAAUCCCAUCCGAGAGGCUGCUCUUGAAAAGGCCCACCUCUCCACACGUCCUGGAGAAACUGGAUACCCUCUUUUUUCUCUGAGUCCCCAGAGGUCCAAGCGCCAUCCAAGAGUAACCCAGACACCAUGCAAGAGAGGCCCAAUCUAGAUCAAAGGAGAGGAACCGAGGCCCCCAGCCAAUAGCCAGCAUCCACUGCCAGACGUAUGAAUGAAGGAUCCUGCAGACGGAUGGUUCCAGUCUCCAGCUUUCGAGUCUUCCAGCUUCGACCCCAGACAUCAUGGAGCAGAGGCAAGCCAUCUCCAUCCCCACUGCACUCCAUCCAAACUCCUGAUCCACAGA